GACGAACGCUGGCGGCGUGCCUAAUACAUGCAAGUAGAACGCUGAAGGAGGAGCUUGCUUCUCCGGAUGAGUUGCGAACGGGUGAGUAACGCGUAGGUAACCUGCCUGGUAGCGGGGGAUAACUAUUGGAAACGAUAGCUAAUACCGCAUAAUAGCAGUUAUUGCAUGAUAACUGUUUGAAAGGUGCAAUUGCACCACUACCAGAUGGACCUGCGUUGUAUUAGCUAGUUGGUGGGGUAACGGCUCACCAAGGCGACGAUACAUAGCCGACCUGAGAGGGUGAUCGGCCACACUGGGACUGAGACACGGCCCAGACUCCUACGGGAGGCAGCAGUAGGGAAUCUUCGGCAAUGGACGGAAGUCUGACCGAGCAACGCCGCGUGAGUGAAGAAGGUUUUCGGAUCGUAAAGCUCUGUUGUAAGAGAAGAACGAGUGUGAGAGUGAAA
rnacentral:rRNA from 1 species